rnacentral:rRNA from 1 species
GCAGCACGGGGGCAACCCUGGUGGCGAGUGGCGAACGGGUGAGUAAUACAUCGGAACGUGUCCUGUAGUGGGGGAUAGCCCGGCGAAAGCCGGAUUAAUACCGCAUACGCUCUACGGAGGAAAGGGGGGGAUCUUAGGACCUCCCGCUACAGGGGCGGCCGAUGGCAGAUUAGCUAGUUGGUGGGGUAAAGGCCUACCAAGGCGACGAUCUGUAGCUGGUCUGAGAGGACGACCAGCCACACUGGGACUGAGACACGGCCCAGACUCCUACGGGAGGCAGCAGUGGGGAAUUUUGGACAAUGGGGGCAACCCUGAUCCAGCAAUGCCGCGUGUGUGAAGAAGGCCUUCGGGUUGUAAAGCACUUUUGUCCGGAAAGAAAACGCCGUGGUUAAUACCCGUGGCGGAUGACGGUACCGGAAGAAUAAGCACCGGCUAACUACGUGCCAGCAGCCGCGGUAAUACGUAGGGUGCAAGCGUUAAUCGGAAUUACUGGGCGUAAAGCGUGCGCAGGCGGUCCGCUAAGACAGAUGUGAAAUCCCCGGGCUUAACCUGGGAACUGCAUUUGUGACUGGCGGGCUAGAGUAUGGCAGAGGGGGGUAGAAUUCCACGUGUAGCAGUGAAAUGCGUAGAGAUGUGGAGGAAUACCGAUGGCGAA